UACGGAGGGAGCUAGCGUUGUUCGGAAUUACUGGGCGUAAAGCGCACGUAGGCGGCUUUGUAAGUUAGAGGUGAAAGCCCGGGGCUCAACUCCGGAACUGCCUUUAAGACUGCAUCGCUUGAAUCCAGGAGAGGUGAGUGGAAUUCCGAGUGUAGAGGUGAAAUUCGUAGAUAUGCGGAGGAACACCGAUGGCGAAGGCAAUCCCCUGGGCCUGCACUGACGCUCAUGCACGAAAGCGUGGGGAGCAAACAGG
rnacentral:rRNA from 1 species